UAAUACCCGAUUUUGGCCCGGGUAAAAGGCCCAAAAUAUAAACGGGUCUGUAAGACCCAAAAUGAACAGAGGCCCAAUUACAGUUUAGCCCAAAUGGCGAGAACAGUUUCUGAAACCCUAGCAACAGCAACGUCUCACGCCGCAGCCCUCCGAAUCUCCACACGAUCUUCACCUGCCCAAAACAAAGCAGUAUAUGGAAAGAAUAGAUUGAAAAUCAAAUCAAAGAAAACAGAUUUACUUUCUAUAAUUUUAUUUUACUUUGGCUAUUAAAAUGGCUAUUGAUACACUGUAAUGGGAUUCGGAAAUCAAUAAAAAAACGAAUAUUUCACAACAAAAAAACAGAGAAUACAAAGAGAACGAAAACAUCAAUCAAAGAUCGGAGGUUGAUAUCUAUUUUCUUGCUUCAUUUCAAUAUUUUUUUACUUUUAUUUUUAUUUCUUUCUACACGAAAAUAAAAUGAAAAGAAAGAAGGGAUUCACCUUUGCCCGGUUCUAUAGCGCAGCCGUGGAGGCCGAGGUUCGUCGUUUCCGAUGAUAAACGACGCAUUUUUUUUGGGUCAUAAAAAUAUAUAAAUUUUUUUCGGCCACCGCAUACGACGGCACCGUCGUCGGUGACCGGCAGCCGACACGGUGGUCCGGCAAUCGGAGAAGACCGGCCUUGGGGGUUGUUGCAGAGAGAAAAGAGGGAAUGGAUUCAGUUUUUUUUUUGGGUAAGGGGG
rnacentral:lncRNA from 1 species